AAAAGUGGCGAGGAAACGAGUAUGAACAUGGACGCACGAGGUUGUACGAAUCACGGGUGGUUAUCACGAGGAAUAGAGCUCGAAGAGCGAGUCACAAGCUAGAUUGUACGGGAAUAACUGAAUAUGUAUUAUUAGUAAUCAGGGCUUAUGCUUUAUUUUUUUGUAAAAGAUACAUAUUAAAACGUACUUUCAAGUAAGUCAUGACGUUAAUAAUGAAAGAAA